GACGAACGCUGGCGGCGUGCUUAACACAUGCAAGUCGAACGGAAAGGCCCUGCUUUUGUGGGGUGCUCGAGUGGCGAACGGGUGAGUAACACGUGAGUAACCUGCCCUUGACUUUGGGAUAACUUCAGGAAACUGGGGCUAAUACCGGAUAGGAGCUCCUGCUGCAUGGUGGGGGUUGGAAAGUUUCGGCGGUUGGGGAUGGACUCGCGGCUUAUCAGCUUGUUGGUGGGGUAGUGGCUUACCAAGGCUUUGACGGGUAGCCGGCCUGAGAGGGUGACCGGCCACAUUGGGACUGAGAUACGGCCCAGACCCCUACGGGAGGCAGCAGUGGGGAAUAUUGCACAAUGGGCGGAAGCCUGAUGCAGCAACGCCGCGUGCGGGAUGACGGCCUUCGGGUUGUAAACCGCUUUCGCCUGUGACGAAGCGUGAGUGACGGUAAUGGGUAAAGAAGUACCGGCUAACUACGUG
rnacentral:rRNA from 1 species